UAAAACUCAAAUAAAUUGACGGGGGCCCGCCCAAGCGGUGGGGCAUGUGGUUUAAUUAGAUGCAACGCGAAGAACCUUACCUACUCUUGACAUCCAGAGAACUUUCCAGAGAUGGAUUGGUGCCUUCGGGAACUCUGAGACAGGUGCUGCAUGGCUGUCGUCAGCUCGUGUUGUGAAAUGUUGGGUUAAGUCCCGCAACGAGCGCAACCCUUAUCCUUUGUUGCCAGCGGUUAGGCCGGGAACUCAAAGGAGACUGCCAGUGAUAAACUGGAGGAAGGUGGGGAUGACGUCAAGUCAUCAUGGCCCUUACGAGUAGGGCUACACACGUGCUACAAUGGCGCAUACAAAGAGAAGCGACCUCGCGAGAGCAAGCGGACCUCAUAAAGUGCGUCGUAGUCCGGAUUGGAGUCUGCAACUCGACUCCAUGAAGUCGGAAUCGCUAGUAAUCGUGGAUCAGAAUGCCACGGUGAAUACGUUCCCGGGCCUUGUACACACCGCCCGUCACACCAUGGGAGUGGGUUGCAAAAGAAGUAGGUAGCUUAACCUUCGGGAGGGCGCUACCACUUUGAUUCAGGCU
rnacentral:rRNA from 1 species